AAUAAAUGCAGUCAGUUACAGCCAUGCAAGCCAGGGUGAAAUGGCACAAAAUCUUGUGUCAUGUCACUUCUUGUUUUCCUUUGUUACUGAUGAAUUACACCUUGUAACUCCUUCUAUACCCAGACUUCAUCAGUUACCAAACAUCAGUCUUUGCAGAAAACUAUUGUAGACUUCACUUGCAAUUGCUCUCCAGGAAGCACUUGGGGACUGGGAGCUGGACUUUCUUCUCCAGACAUCUGACAAGUUUCCCAGUGUUCCCAGAAGCCUGCAACAAAGCACUCCUACCAUUUUGCCAUGCACCACAGCCAAUGAACAACAGACACUCAUUCUGCAACCCAGAUUCUUAUUCCUCAGGCCUAAACUUCAUUUUUCUAGUCAGUACAUGUUGUAGUUCUUUCUCCUGCAAGCAAUGAGAUGCUCAGUGCAGCAAGAACAUAUCAUCAGUUUUUAGAGCUGUGUUCCAAUGUCAUCUUCCUGCCUCCCAGCUAACUGGUGUAACCUCAGACAUUUUGCUUUACAAAGAGCCAUUUCACAAUGACUGGCAAGAGUCACUGGAGGGAUUGUUUUUGCUUGCUGAGUGACUGGUUUUCAAAUUGGGUAAAGGGACUGGGCAUGGUGGUUAAGUAAUCCCAAUGGCUCUUCACAAUCCUUUUAAAGCUUUGAGAAACUGAGACAAUUUAAAGCAUCAGCAUUAUCACUGUGAAACCUCUCUGCAAUGCUUUAAAAGACUUCUCCACUGAACAUAAAUAACUUCCCAACCUUUGGCUUAAAGAGAAAGGUUCUUCUCCUUAAUAGUGCAGCAUGCCUUCAUUGAGAAAUGUAAUUUAUUUUGCUUAGCUCUAAGUGAUGCAGCAGAUAAGCAGUUAUAAAAAUUAGUUUUUCAAGUCACCCAAAUCAUUAGUUAGCCAGUACAGCCAAUACUAUCCAAGCUAAGGAGUUCCUGCAGUUGAGGGCUAUAAAAGCAAGUGGGCAAGUUCACUUUACCUGCCCAAGACCCUUUACCUCCUCCUUCCCAUCACAUUUCUUACAUUCCUCAAGACUCCUGCUGUUUGUACCAUCUUGGAGUCUCCAUUGAUGCCACUACCACAAGGUUGGCCUGUGACACUGCAUCAGGCAAGUUUAUGACCAUGUAGGCUGGGGGAGUCUGAUUUCAACUUUCUGGCAUCUUUAUUCAGCACAGAUGUGGUAAGAUAGCUGCAAAACGUGGACAAAACUUGAAGUUAACAGUAGCAUCUGAAAUGUACAUGCACAGGUAAAUGGUGAGAUCAAAAGUCAUGUAAUAAUAUGAACCAACUGAUAGAAAGGCAACAUGGUAGGUUACUCACCAGCAGUGCUGGGAACCUCAUAUAAGACUAAUGAAAUAAUGCAAGCCAAGGAAGAAACAGGAAAAAAAGCCACAGCAGUAUGCACUUGCAAGACCUUGCAGCCAACAGGUAGUAUGUAAGUUCCUAUCCAGCUGGAAUAUUCACUAUACAUUCAAUGU
ensembl:lncRNA